UGGAAUAAUGGAAUAGGACGCGUGGUUCUAUUUCGUUGGUUUCUAGGAUCGCGGUAAUGAUUAAUAGGGAUAGUUGGGGGCAUUAGUAUUCAAUUGUCAGAGGUGAAAUUCUUGGAUUUAUUGAAGACUAACUACUGCGAAAGCAUUUGCCAAGGAUGUUUUCAUUAAUCAAGAACGAAAGUUAGGGGAUCGAAGACGAUCAGAUACCGUCGUAGUCUUAACCAUAAACUAUGCCGACUAGGAAUCGGGCGAUGUUAUAAGAUGACUUGCUCGGCACCUUAAG
rnacentral:rRNA from 1 species